rnacentral:lncRNA from 1 species
UGUAUAUAAGUUGGAAACUGAUACCUUCUACCAAUUAAAUCUGGGGUAUAUUUUUCAUAGAAAGAGUUCCAAAAAAUGUGAACAAUGUUUUCUUUGAUGGAGUAUAGGAUUUGGAUGCUGUUAUUGAAGAAUCGAAGGAGGAGUAUAUUCUUCCGUUGCAAUUAAGACCUGAAAAGGGAGAUACUUUAAUUAGCUGACCGAGGCAGCAAGUCAGCAGAUUGUCCCAAAAAACCAGCCCACCUCAGCCUUGAACAGUGGACCACAUGGUCGACCUUCUCCAACAAAUUUUCGGUGUG